GACGUAGGGCGCGAGCGUUGUCCGGAUUUAUUGGGCGUAAAGAGCUCGUAGGCGGCUUGUCGCGUCGACUGUGAAAACCCGUGGCUCAACUGCGGGCCUGCAGUCGAUACGGGCAGGCUAGAGUUCGGUAGGGGGAGACUGGAAUUCCUGGUGUAGCGGUGAAAUGCGCAGAUAUCAGGAGGAACACCGGUGGCGAAGGCGGGUCUCUGGGCCGAUACUGACGCUGAGGAGCGAAAGCGUGGGGAGCGAACAGG
rnacentral:rRNA from 1 species